rnacentral:rRNA from 1 species
CCCUUAGAUGUUCUGGGCUGCACGCGCGCUACACUGACACACCCAGCGAGUCUCCUGCCCUGACAGGGUUGGGUAAUCAUUGGAGUGUGUGUCGUGAUGGGGAUAGAGUAUUGCAAUUAUUGCUCUCGAACGAGGAAUUCCUAGUAAGCACAAGUCAGCAGCUUGUGCUGAUUACGUCCCUGCCCUUUGUACACACCGCCCGUCGCUCCUACCGAGGGGGUGAUCCGGUGAAUGAUUCGGACUUUGGCGUUUCUAGCUGCUAGCAGCGCUGAAGAAAGUUUUGUGAACCUUAUCGCUUGGAGGAAGGAGAAGUCGUAACA